rnacentral:rRNA from 1 species
AGUGUACGCUGGCGGUAGGCCUAACACAUGCAAGUCGAACGGCAGCACAGUAAGAGCUUGCUCUUACGGGUGGCGAGUGGCGGACGGGUGAGGAAUACAUCGGAAUCUACUUUUUCGUGGGGGAUAACGUAGGGAAACUUACGCUAAUACCGCAUACGACCUACGGGUGAAAGCAGGGGAUCUUCGGACCUUGCGCGAUUGAAUGAGCCGAUGUCGGAUUAGCUAGUUGGCGGGGUAAGGGCCCACCAAGGCGACGAUCCGUAGCUGGUCUGAGAGGAUGAUCAGCCACACUGGAACUGAGACACGGUCCAGACUCCUACGGGAGGCAGCAGUGGGGAAUAUUGGACAAUGGGCGCAAGCCUGAUCCAGCCAUACCGCGUGGGUGAAGAAGGCCUUCGGGUUGUAAAGCCCUUUUGUUGGGAAAGAAAAGCAGCAGGUUAAUACCCCGCUGUUCUGACGGUACCCAAAGAAUAAGCACCGGCUAACUUCGUG